CUCGUUAACGCGUAAUUUAAUGCGAUUAUUUUAAUAGUGUGUACCUAUAAUAGUAUUAAAAAUUGCUAAUGAAAAAUUGUCGAAGUUAAGAAAUUAAACUGUUUAGUUACAGUUUUACUUUCAAACUCGGGAAUAAUAAAUUUUUUAUUGUAAAUAUUAAUGUUUCGAGUGUAAAAAUGUAUGAUGAUGUACCUAACACGCCAUAUUGGAACUGAAAAACGGGUAUCCGACUGAGACCUGCAGAAACGAGUAUAAUAAUAAUAUAAUUUGAACACUCAGACCUGGGCCAACCAAACCAUUCAGAUCUGUGUAACACUCGUACACUGCUAUCCAUACUAAUGCAAUUCCAAUGAACUUUUCGAUUUAUUCCGCAUACGUAAUUUUUUGUAAAAACGAAAAAGCGUUCAAUAAAAAUGUGCAACACCCCCACAUAAAAUCAAUGCCGAAUAUUUCUAUACCAGAUAAAAGAAUAGGAGCGGAUGGUGGAAAAGCCGGCAAACCCGAAAACCGAAAAAAAAACAAAACCAAAAACCGUAUAUACGCG